CGUUGCUCUAUGAAUAAUUGCCAUUGCUAUUAUUUCUCCACAUUCCCUUCUCGCUUUGAGGCUGCAAAUUAUUCUGCAAGUGGGAAGCGUUUGCGAGUAAUUAGACGGAUUAGACUUUCUGCUCCGCUUCCUUGAGUGAAGUUUUUGUUUCGCGAGAAAGAUGGUGAAGAGGAAGGACAGGACGGCGCGGCGGCAGAUCUUGCAGUUAAAGGAGGAGAAAAGCCGUGCGUAUUCGCCGCCAGCUAAGAAUCCAGCGAUUGGUCCUGCUGAGCCAUCGUUAAGUCAAGGAGAUAAUGACGAAGGCGACGCACUUGAUGAAGCAAGCAAAAGCGAGCCGGCCUCGAAAAACGGGGUUCCGAGAGAUGCCAUAGACGACCAGUUGGAAGACUUCAUGAAGGAAAUUGAUGCCAUCUCAUCAACCGUUCCUGAGACAGAUCCACAGGGCGAGGAUGAUAAGGAUGAAUUACCUGAUAAAGAGGCCAUGACAGCCACUUCAGGCUGUCUUCCAGCUUCUGGGACACCUUCCGAAGAAGUCAGCACCGAAGUGCCACAGUCAAAAGCAAACACUGUGGAUGCACCUUCAACCACUGAAGGCGAGGUUCCCGCUUGCCCCUGGGUAGAAUGCAUGGAUGAAGCAACAGGUUACACCUACUUCUGGCAUCAGUUGACCAAUGAGGUGACGUGGGACUGCCCUCCGGAGUAUGAAGCCUACUGGGCACAGUAUGGGGAACCAGUUGAUGCAGAGAGCACUGUACCUGGACAUGGAGCAGCUGCUGCUGCUUCUUCUGCAACAACUUCAGGACUGAGUGAUGGUGCACAGGUGCUUCCUGAAACCUCAAGCAGUGCACCAGCGUCUUCGAUUGCUGUGACUGCACCUAACAGCAGUAAUUCAUUGAAUGUUCAAGCUGCUGAUGCCUGCAGCACGGAAGGUGGAAGCACCAAACCUGCUGUAUCAUCUGCAACUAGUGGAUCGGUUGCUAGCAUGGCGGGAGAACCUGAAUUGAGUAAAACAGUAACAACGUCUGGCAAGAAGAAGCGCAAGCAGGAAGCUGCCAUUGGGGUUAUCAUUCCAAUAACUUCAUAUGGUGCAUCCGACAGUAGCUCAUCUGAGGGUAGCGACGAGACUUAUUCAGUUCAGAGGGCGCAACGGAAGAGGCAUCCUUCCAAGCGGCUGAAGGUUGCUGCCAAGAAGCUGCGUAGGGAGUCGCCACCGCUGGUUGCCUAUGGACCACAGCUGCCGGACUCUGCGCUCACUCAAGGAGAAGAGCCUGUGUACGGUCCACAGCUGCCAGAUGCUCCCGAUUCCAUGGAAGUAACAGUUUAUGGUCCGCACUUGCCAGAGGAGGAGAAAGUUGUCUAUGGGCCCCACCUGCCAGAGGAGAUCAGGACCGUCUAUGGGCCACACUUGCCGGAGCCUGAAGAGAGGGUUGUGUACGGACCACACUUGCCAGAGCCCGGUGAACCUGAAUUUCAUCAGCCCCCCAUUUUAAUUGGUCCACAGCUACCUGAGUUCCACGAGUUCGCAACUGAAAAGCCCAGUACCAGUGUGUUUAUUGGCCCAUUGCUUCCAGAUGGAUUCUAUGAGAAACGAUCGGAGUGCUGUGAAGAAGAGAAACCCGCGGUUCAAAAACCGUGUCCAAGCUUAGAAGAUACUUCGUCUCACUGCAUGGAAUCGGGUGAACCUAUAGCUGCAUCUGAGGCACCCACUGUUCGAGGAACCCAAGCUGGUGAAACUGUACAGGAAAGUAUGCAUUUUCCUACAGCCGCCAGAGAGACUUCUGGUGCUCCUGAUGGAACGACAGUUAGUGCAGUGCCGGCAUUGUCUGGCCUGGUGGAUUACCCUGGCUCUCCUGUCGCUGACAGCGAAACAGAUGAUGAGGGGAAAGGUAAGGAAGAUAAAAAAGUGUUGACGCCAGCCCCAAACACUGAGAAGGAGUCAACUAUUGUGAACUAUCCUGUCAUGACUAGUGGAAAGCUCCAGUUUGAAGCAGUUGUGCAGGAUGUGCCUAAAGAAGUGGUGUCUCAAGGUGUUAGUCAAGGCAGUUCCAAUGCUCGUGUCAGCUCCUUGGCUGUAGCAGGACAGCUGAAGUCAAAACAAGUCAAGGAGGCAAAGAAGGGAUCGCAGCACCUGGUUUCUUAUGGCGACUCGGAGAGCAGUGAUGACGACAGCAUGGAGGUAAAUGUUACUGCUACGGAGCCGCCACUUCCCUCCACAGCUCGACCAGCCCUCCCUUCAGCAGCGGAUGAGGAAGAUGAAGAGGAAAAGCAUGUGGGCCUUGGUUGCUCCAAUAGUGAUGCUAUGGAUGCACAUGUUACAGAUGACAAGAACCCUCCACCAGCGAAGCCAUUUGUUGGAGUCAACUUUGUCAGAUCAUCUGAGUUGCUUGUGUUGAGUGAAUGUGCUGCUCAGGGUGACGGUGCAACUGAAGAGAAGACAAAAGAGGCGGAGAAAGAACAGUCGCCUUGCUCAGAGAGUACUGGCAAUGAAAGCUUGGCCUCCCCACAAGAACAGAAGACACCGAAUGAUUCCGAUGUGGACGAUUUCGAUGAUGUCGUGCGGGCACUCGACAUUGCUUUGUUAGAGUCGCAAAAGAAAAAAACCCAGGAGGACAGUACAAAGCAUGAAGACUUGUCCAGUGUUGUGAAAAAAGAAUUGUCCAGUGACACAAGUGAAGAAGAAGGUGAAAUAAGGUCUUCUGAAUCAUCCAGUGAGGAAGGAAUGACACCAGUGCGUCGUAGUAGUUCAGAAUCUGAAGAUGAACCAGAAGUUGAUGCCAGAGUAAUGAAAGACAAACUGUCUAGGAGAAAAGGCGCAUCUCCCAAGCCUGAGAGUAAGGAUACACUUAAGCUGGAUAUUGAAGAGGCUUACAAGCAGCUGACGGACCAAUUGAAUCCUCUGCGAGAUGUCAUAGCCUGCAGGAACAGCUACUUUGAACUCGUCGUGAAGACUAUGACUCGUAUGGAGGACUGGCGCGCUGGUGCAUUGGGCUCUGACUACUUCCUACAGAAGUUGCAUGAUGCUCGUGCUGCUGCUGCUGAGCUUCACCAACUGGUCCAGGCUGCCGAGAAAACACAGAGCGAUGAACCUUGCCAAGAACCGUUACCGCCUGGCUGGCAGAGGCACUGGGACAGCCUGAGCAGGAGCCUUCAUGAAGCCUGGUCUUCUUGGCUUGGGCGGGAAGGCUGGCUUGGGAGGUGGUGCCUCACUGCUGCCACUGCUGCUGCUGUGUUUCAUUUCUUUUUUUCCUCACGAGCUCAAGAAGCCCUCCUCCUCGAUUUUUUUCUGGGAGAAGGCUCCUUCCAUGCUCCCACAAACUCCUCUCCCUGCAGUACACUUACGAAUGACCCACAUCCUCUUGCCCUGUUUCUUACACCACCCCGGUCACAUGCCACCCUUGCUCUUUUCCCUCACCGUCUCCUGCAUCUUUUGAUCUGACAUUUCACUCGUCACCCGCUGUCAUUGUGGUAAAUUGCAACCAGUGAGCGACAAGUUGCUGGGCUUUCUGGAGUUCCUGCUGGACUUGUCAUGGCCAAACUUGGACGACAUAGGUUGACGUGCCUUGGCUGAUCCCAUGUUGCUGUUGUGUGCUCUGUCCAGCCUGCAAGAGACUCUCUACUGGACAGGAAGAACACCAAGCCUGUGAAGAGCACUCAAUUUUUCAGAGUUGAGUGGCAGCUGUUUGCCAAUGGAUUGCCUCGAAUAAGACAUCCCUAAGAGUUGUGGUCUGGUGCGGGUGCCUCUUGUGGGAGUAACACCAAUGCCUCGGAUGGACAUUGCUUUGUCUGAGAAUUCCGUGGGACAUGGGGUGUCAUCGGGCAGAGGACGCUACAUCAUUUCCUGCUGCCAUGUUACUUAUAAACGACUCACCGUACUGCUGCAUCAUAGGACUGGGUCUUGUGCAGCACAACGCACGCCUGCCAUCUCUUUCUAGAAGCGCUUGGAUGUCAUCAUUUUAGGCUUUAGUGGGCACGCAAGAUAUUUUUAUGUGCACGAGGAAACGGGCCAUUCCCAGUGGGUGUCCCCCACUGUAACAGAUGCCAGCAGCGGCACGCUCGAUUCCACCUCUCCUACGACUGACACAGGAGUGAAUUCUGACAAGUC